GAGUUUGAUCAUGGCUCAGAUUGAACGCUGGCGGCAGGCCUGACACAUGCAAGUCGAGCGGUAGCACAGAGAGCUUGCUCUCGGGUGACGAGCGGCGGACGGGUGAGUAAUGUCUGGGAAACUGCCUGAUGGAGGGGGAUAACUACUGGAAACGGUAGCUAAUACCGCAUAAUGUCGCAAGACCAAAGUGGGGGACCUUCGGGCCUCAUGCCAUCAGAUGUGCCCAGAUGGGAUUAGCUAGUAGGUGGGGUAACGGCUCACCUAGGCGACGAUCCCUAGCUGGUCUGAGAGGAUGACCAGCCACACUGGAACUGAGACACGGUCCAGACUCCUACGGGAGGCAGCAGUGGGGAAUAUUGCACAAUGGGCGCAAGCCUGAUGCAGCCAUGCCGCGUGUGUGAAGAAGGCCUUCGGGUUGUAAAGCACUUUCAGCGGGGAGGAAGGCGAUAAGKUUAAUAACCUUGUCGAUUGACGUUACCCGCAGAAGAAGCACCGGCUAACUCCGUGCCAGCAGCCGCGGUAAUACGGAGGGUGCAAGCGUUAAUCGGAAUUACUGGGCGUAAAGCGCACGCAGGCGGUCUGUCAAGUCGGAUGUGAAAUCCCCGGGCUCAACCUGGGAACUGCAUUCGAAACUGGCAGGCUAGAGUCUUGUAGAGGGGGGUAGAAUUCCAGGUGUAGCGGUGAAAUGCGUAGAGAUCUGGAGGAAUACCGGUGGCGAAGGCGGCCCCCUGGACAAAGACUGACGCUCAGGUGCGAAAGCGUGGGGAGCAAACAGGAUUAGAUACCCUGGUAGUCCACGCCGUAAACGAUGUCGAUUUGGAGGUUGUGCCCUUGAGGCGUGGCUUCCGGAGCUAACGCGUUAAAUCGACCGCCUGGGGAGUACGGCCGCAAGGUUAAAACUCAAAUGAAUUGACGGGGGCCCGCACAAGCGGUGGAGCAUGUGGUUUAAUUCGAUGCAACGCGAAGAACCUUACCUGGUCUUGACAUCCACAGAACUUAGCAGAGAUGCUUUGGUGCCUUCGGGAACUGUGAGACAGGUGCUGCAUGGCUGUCGUCAGCUCGUGUUGUGAAAUGUUGGGUUAAGUCCCGCAACGAGCGCAACCCUUAUCCUUUGUUGCCAGCGGUUAGGCCGGGAACUCAAAGGAGACUGCCAGUGAUAAACUGGAGGAAGGUGGGGAUGACGUCAAGUCAUCAUGGCCCUUACGACCAGGGCUACACACGUGCUACAAUGGCAUAUACAAAGAGAAGCGACCUCGCGAGAGCAAGCGGACCUCAUAAAGUAUGUCGUAGUCCGGAUUGGAGUCUGCAACUCGACUCCAUGAAGUCGGAAUCGCUAGUAAUCGUAGAUCAGAAUGCUACGGUGAAUACGUUCCCGGGCCUUGUACACACCGCCCGUCACACCAUGGGAGUGGGUUGCAAAAGAAGUAGGUAGCUUAACCUUCGGGAGGGCGCUUACCACUUUGUGAUUCAUGACUGGGGUGAAGUCGUAACAAGGUAACCGUAA
rnacentral:rRNA from 1 species